GGGACACGUGGUAUCCUGUCUGAAUAUGGGGGGACCAUCCUCCAAGGCUAAAUACUCCUGACUGACCGAUAGUGAACCAGUACCGUGAGGGAAAGGCGAAAAGAACCCCGGCGAGGGGAGUGAAAAAGAACCUGAAACCGUGUACGUACAAGCAGUGGGAGCACGCUUAGGCGUGUGACUGCGUACCUUUUGUAUAAUGGGUCAGCGACUUAUAUUCUGUAGCAAGGUUAACCGAAUAGGGGAGCCGAAGGGAAACCGAGUCUUAACUGGGCGUUAAGUUGCAGGGUAUAGACCCGAAACCCGGUGAUCUAGCCAUGGGCAGGUUGAAGGUUGGGUAACACUAACUGGAGGACCGAACCGACUAAUGUUGAAAAAUUAGCGGAUGACUUGUGGCUGGGGGUGAAAGGCCAAUCAAACCGGGAGAUAGCUGGUUCUCCCCGAAAGCUAUUUAGGUAGCGCCUCGUGAAUUCAUCUCCGGGGGUAGAGCACUGUUUCGGCAAGGGGGUCAUCCCGACUUACCAACCCGAUGCAAACUGCGAAUACCGGAGAAUGUUAUCACGGGAGACACACGGCGGGUGCUAACGUCCGUCGUGAAGAGGGAAACAACCCAGACCGCCAGCUAAGGUCCCAAAGUCAUGGUUAAGUGGGAAACGAUGUGGGAAGGCCCAGACAGCCAGGAUGUUGGCUUAGAAGCAGCCAUCAUUUAAAGAAAGCGUAAUAGCUCACUGGUCGAGUCGGCCUGCGCGGAAGAUGUAACGGGGCUAAACCAUGCACCGAAGCUGCGGCAGCGACGCUUAUGCGUUGUUGGGUAGGGGAGCGUUCUGUAAGCCUGUGAAGGUGUGCUGUGAGGCAUGCUGGAGGUAUCAGAAGUGCGAAUGCUGACAUAAGUAACGAUAAAGCGGGUGAAAAGCCCGCUCGCCGGAAGACCAAGGGUUCCUGUCCAACGUUAAUCGGGGCAGGGUGAGUCGACCCCUAAGGCGAGGCCGAAAGGCGUAGUCGAUGGGAAACAGGUUAAUAUUCCUGUACUUGGUGUUACUGCGAAGGGGGGACGGAGAAGGCUAUGUUGGCCGGGCGACGGUUGUCCCGGUUUAAGCGUGUAGGCUGGUUUUCCAGGCAAAUCCGGAAAAUCAAGGCUGAGGCGUGAUGACGAGGCACUACGGUGCUGAAGCAACAAAUGCCCUGCUUCCAGGAAAAGCCUCUAAGCAUCAGGUAACAUCAAAUCGUACCCCAAACCGACACAGGUGGUCAGGUAGAGAAUACCAAGGCGCUUGAGAGAACUCGGGUGAAGGAACUAGGCAAAAUGGUGCCGUAACUUCGGGAGAAGGCACGCUGAUAUGUAGGUGAAGCGACUUGCUCGUGGAGCUGAAAUCAGUCGAAGAUACCAGCUGGCUGCAACUGUUUAUUAAAAACACAGCACUGUGCAAACACGAAAGUGGACGUAUACGGUGUGACGCCUGCCCGGUGCCGGAAGGUUAAUUGAUGGGGUCAGCGCAAGCGAAGCUCUUGAUCGAAGCCCCGGUAAACGGCGGCCGUAACUAUAACGGUCCUAAGGUAGCGAAAUUCCUUGUCGGGUAAGUUCCGACCUGCACGAAUGGCGUAAUGAUGGCCAGGCUGUCUCCACCCGAGACUCAGUGAAAUUGAACUCGCUGUGAAGAUGCAGUGUACCCGCGGCAAGACGGAAAGACCCCGUGAACCUUUACUAUAGCUUGACACUGAACAUUGAGCCUUGAUGUGUAGGAUAGGUGGGAGGCUUAGAAGUGUGGACGCCAGUCUGCAUGGAGCCGACCUUGAAAUACCACCCUUUAAUGUUUGAUGUUCUAAC
rnacentral:rRNA from 1 species